UUUUGUGAUUUUUCAAAAUCCUAUUUUGUCAACAAAACUUGUAUUGAUUUUUAAAGAAAUUAUUUUAUUCUGAGUACGAAAUCAUAGCUAAGACGAUGUUCGAAAUUUCCUCUGCGUUAAUAAAUUCCUUCAAAAACUACCGUUUCGUCGUUAGGCUUAUAAACAAGCGCCAUUUCUCCACCACUAAUGUCGCGAAGGGGAUACAAUAAUGCAGGCGUGGGAUGACGUCAUAUCGCGGUCACCCGACAGGGCUACACUACCUCAAUCUUGGUGUCAACACUCACAAAGGGUUAGCAGAGAAGUGUGCGAAGGAGAUUGUUAACCUCACUGGCAUACCAUUCGAGAGAGCUCCCAACAGAUUUGAAGCUCUAGCCAGCCACGACCUGACGAUGGAAGUUUCUGGAGCCCUCAACACAGUCGCUUGUUCUGCAUUGGCCGCAUA